CCUACGGGAGGCAGCAGUGAGGAAUCUUCCACAAUGGGCGAAAGCCUGAUGGAGCGACACCGCGUGAAGGAUGAAGGCUUUGUUGUUGUAAACUUCUUUUCUGUGGGAAGAUAAUGACGGUACCACAUGAAUAAGGGACGGCUAACUACGUGCCAGCAGCCGCGGUAAU
rnacentral:rRNA from 1 species